AAGCCUCGUACCAGCUCCUUUGUGAGAAGUCAUUGAAAUACGUUCUAACCACAGCGAAUUGCUAAAGUAUUGCAGAGAGUGGCCGUCGCGACAUUUUAGCUUAUUCAGCUGAGCCAACAUGAAGACAGCUCUGGUAAUUGUCCUUCUGGCGCUCUCGACAUCUGCCU